GUUGGGCAUGGUGGCGCGUGCCUGUAGUCCCAGCUACUUGGGAGGCUGAGGCAGGAGAAUCGCUUGAACCCAGGAGUUGGAGGUUGCAGUGAGCCGAGAUCUCGCCACUGCACUCCAGCCUGGGUGACAGAGCGAGACUCUGUCUAAA
rnacentral:SRP_RNA from 2 species